rnacentral:rRNA from 2 species
GACUCGCGACAACAGAUAUCUCUGCUUUCGCAUCGAUGAAGAAUGUAGCGAAAUGCAAUACUUGGUGCAGAAUCCCAUGAACCAUUGAGUCUUUGAACGCAAGUUGCACCCGAAUCCAUUAGGCCGAGGGCACGUCUGCCUAGGUGUCA